GAUGAACGCUGGCGGCGUGCCUAAUACAUGCAAGUCGAGCGAACAGAUGAGGAGCUUGCUCCUCUGACGUUAGCGGCGGACGGGUGAGUAACACGUGGAUAACCUACCUAUAAGACUGGGAUAACUUCGGGAAACCGGAGCUAAUACCGGAUAAUAUAUUGAACCGCAUGGUUCAAUAGUGAAAGACGGUUUUGCUGUCACUUAUAGAUGGAUCCGCGCCGCAUUAGCUAGUUGGUAAGGUAACGGCUUACCAAGGCAACGAUGCGUAGCCGACCUGAGAGGGUGAUAGGCCACAUGGGAACUGAGACACGGUCCAGACUCCUACGGGAGGCCGCAGUAGGGAAUCUGACGCAAUGGGCGAAAGCCUGACGGAGCAACGCCGCGUGAGUGAUGACGGUCUUCGGAUCGUAAAACUCUGUUAUUAGGGAAGAACAAAUGUGUAAGUAACUAUGCACGUCUUGACGGUACCUAAUCAGAAAGCCACGGCUAACUACGUG
rnacentral:rRNA from 1 species